UACGUAGGGCGCAAGCGUUGUCCGGAAUCACUGGGCGUAAAGGGCGCGUAGGCGGAUCUUUAAGUCGGGGGUGAAAGCCUGGAGGCUCAACCUCAGAAUUGCCUUCGAUACUGGAGAUCUUGAGACCGGAAGAGGUAAGUGGAACUGCGAGUGUAGAGGUGAAAUGCGUAGAUAUUGGGAGGAACACCAGUGGCGAAGGCGGCUCACUGGACCGGUACUGACGCUGAUGCGCGAAAGCGUGGG
rnacentral:rRNA from 1 species